UACGUAGGGGGCAAGCGUUGGUCCGGAUUUAUUGGGCGUAAAGAGCGUGUAGGCGGCCAUGUAGGUCCGUUGUGAAAACUCGAGGCUCAACCUCGAGACGCCGAUGGAAACCAUGUGGCUAGAGUCCGGAAGAGGCGAGUGGAAUUCCCGGUGUAGCGGUGAAAUGCGCAGAUAUCGGGAGGAACACCAAUGGCGAAGGCGAGCAUCGCUGGGACGUUACGUGACGCUGAGACGCGAAAGCGUGGGGAGCAA
rnacentral:rRNA from 1 species